AAGGCCUUAGUUUAAUUAAAACAUUUGAUUUGCACUCAUAAAAUGCAAGAUAAAGUCUUGUAGGUCUUA
rnacentral:tRNA from 1 species